rnacentral:rRNA from 1 species
GACAGAGGGUGCAAACGUUGUUCGGAAUUACUGGGCGUAAAGCGUGUGUAGGCGGCCUUGCAAGUCGGAUGUGAAAGCCCCGGGCUCAACCCGGGAAGUGCACCCGAUACUGCUGGGCUCGAGUACCGGAGAGGUUGGUGGAAUUCUCGGUGUAGAGGUGAAAUUCGUAGAUAUCGAGAGGAACACCGGUGGCGAAGGCGGCCAACUGGACGAGUACUGACGCUGAGACACGAAAGCGUGGGGAGCGAACAGG